rnacentral:piRNA from 1 species
UGAUUGCACACUAAGGAUGCACCAGUUC